rnacentral:rRNA from 1 species
GCCGGCCCCUGGGACUGAGACACGGCCCAGACUCCUCGGGAGGCAGCAGUGGGGAAUAUUGCACAAUGGGCGAAAGCCUGAUGCAGCGACGCCGCGUGAGGGAUGACGGCCUUCGGGUUGUAAACCUCUUUCAGCAGGGAAGAAGCGGAAAGUGACGGGUCCUGCAGAAGAAGCGCCGGCUAACUACGUGCCAGCAGCCGCGGUAAUACGUAGGGCGCAAGCGUUGUCCGGAAUUAUUGGGCGUAAAGAGCUCGUAGGCGGCUUGUUCACGUUCGGAUGUGAAACCCGAGGCUUAACCUCGGGCUGCAUUCGAUACGGGCUAGCUAGAGUGUGGUAGGGGAGAUCGGAAUUCCUGGUGUAGCGGUGAAAUGCGCAGAUAUCAGGAGGAACACCGGUGGCGAAGGCGGAUCUCUGGGCCAUUACUUGACGCUUGAGGAGCGAAAGCGUGGGGAGCAGAACAGGAUUAGAUACCCUUGGUAGUCCACGCCGUAAACGUUGGGAACUAGGUGUUGGCGACAUUCCACGUUCGUCGGUCCGCAGCUACGCAUUAGUUCCCCGCCUGGGGAGUCGGCCGCAAGGCUAAAACUCAAAGGAAUUGACGGGGGCCCGCACAAGCGGCGGAGCAUGUGGCUUAAUUCGACGCAACGCGAAGAACCUUACCAAGGCGUUGACAUAUACCGGGAAAGCAAUUAGAGAUAGUGCCCCCCAUUGUGGUUGGUAUACAGGUGGCUGCAUGGCUGUCGUCCAGCCUCGUGUCGUGAGAAUGUUUGGGUUUAAGUUCCCGCAACGAGCGCAACCCUUGGUCCUUGUGUUGCCAGCAAUGCCCUUUCGGGGUUGAUGGGGACCUCACAGGAGACCGCCGGGGGUCAACUCGGAGGAGGUGGGGACGACGUCAAGUCAUCAUGCCCCUUAUGUCUUGGGCUGCAACGUGCUACAAUGGCCGGUACAAUGAGCUGCGAUACCGUUGAGGUGGAGCGAAUGUCAAAAAGCCGGUCUCAGUUCGGAUUGGGGUCUGCAACUCGACCCCAUGAAGUCGGAGUCGCCUAGUAAUCGCAGAUCAGCAUUGCCUGCGGUGAAUACGUUCCCGGGCCGUUGUACACACCGCCCGUCACGUCACGAAAGUCGGUAACACCCGAAGCCGGUGGCCCAACCCUUGUGGAGGGAGCUGUCGAAGGUGGGACUGGCGAUUGGGACGAAGUCGUAAACCAAGGGUACAAG